rnacentral:misc_RNA from 1 species
CAAGCUGAAAGCACGCAGGGCA